rnacentral:tRNA from 1 species
GCCAUUAUGGUGAAAUUGGUAUACACGCUUCUCUUAGGAAGCAGUGCGAGAGCAUCUUGGUUCUAGUCCGAGUAGCGACA